rnacentral:lncRNA from 1 species
GAAUUAAAUAUGGGUGAUGCUGAGAAAGGCAAGAAGAUUUUUGUUCAGAAGUGUGCCCAGUGCCACACGGUGGAAAAGAGAGGCAAGCACAAGACUGGGCCUAAUCUCCAUGGUCUCUUUGGGCCAUUGGAUUCUCUUACACAGACGCCAAGAAGAACAAAGGCAUCACCUGGGGAGAGGAUACACUCACUGAUGGAGGAUUUGGAGAAUCCCAAGAAGUACAUCCCUGGAAGAAAACUGAUCUUUGCCAGCAUUAAGAAGGCAGACAGGGCAGACUUUAUAGCUUAUCUAAAAAAAAGC